UUUUUCAUGAGAGUUUGAUCCUGGCUCAGGACGAACGCUGGCGGCGUGCCUAACACAUGCAAGUCGAGCGAAGUACUUAUCAAGAAGCCUUCGGGCAGAUUGAUAAGCUACUUAGCGGCGGAUGGGUGAGUAACGCGUGAGGAACCUGCCUUCCACAAGGGGAUAGCCUCGGGAAACCGGGAUUAAUACCCUAUGACACUUAAAAUCCGCAUGGAUUUUAAGUUAAAGCGAUAAGCGGUGGAAGAUGGUCUCGCGUCCCAUUAGCUAGUUGGUGAGGUAACGGCUCACCAAGGCCACGAUGGGUAGCCGGCUUGAGAGAGUGACCGGCCACACUGGAACUGAGACACGGUCCAGACUCCUACGGGAGGCAGCAGUGGGGAAUAUUGCACA
rnacentral:rRNA from 1 species